AGGGAAUAUAAAAGAAUGUACAUGUAACCUUUUCAUUCUCAUUUUGAGGGUUUCAUCUCGCUCGCUCUUUCCGCACGCACAACUCAAGGAACAGUCUCUCCCAAUCAUCAUCUCACAAGUCCAAAUGGCUCGCACAGAGAGAGGCAUUUUUGGCUGCAAAAAGGGAAUGAUUGGCUAGAAUUAGGACAUAUAUGGCGAUGUAUCGUGGGGGCGCAUAAGAAAGCUGAGAUCAGGGACGAGGAUGAGGACUUCUGAGACAAGACAACAAUGCUUUGUGUCUAGAUUACAGUUUGUUUGUGUAAAUCCAGUUGGCUCUCAUUGGUGGUUAUGUUAUGUGGUGUCUUGACUUAGUUGAUUCAUUGCUAGUAGACAUUUUUGUUGCUGUUAUGGGAGGGUUUGGUUUCGGCUACUUUUGCUUCAGAUUUGAUUAAACCUACGGUACGUGGUUGGAUGUUUCUGAA